UUAUUCGGACUAAUUUUCUUGAAUGGACAAUAAUGCGUUUUGUGUCCAAGUUUGCAACAAAAGUUGCAUUUGCUUUGGUGUCGAACAUGUAAGAUGAGGCCUUUUAUGAAGGUGGUUGGAUUUUGGUGAGGACUUCUCACAAAUCCAAUUUCACUUCUUUUGGGAACGUGACCCUUGUUUGCAAGGAUCAUGUUCAAUGACUUGCUACCAACCUC
rnacentral:lncRNA from 1 species